rnacentral:rRNA from 1 species
GAACUGAAGAGUUUGAUCCUGGCUCAGAUUGAACGCUGGCGGCAUGCCUUACACAUGCAAGUCGAACGGCAGCACGGGUGCUUGCACCUGGUGGCGAGUGGCGAACGGGUGAGUAAUACAUCGGAACAUGUCCUGUAGUGGGGGAUAGCCCGGCGAAAGCCGGAUUAAUACCGCAUACGAUCCACGGAUGAAAGCGGGGGACCUUCGGGCCUCGCGCUAUAGGGUUGGCCGAUGGCUGAUUAGCUAGUUGGUGGGGUAAAGGCCUACCAAGGCGACGAUCAGUAGCUGGUCUGAGAGGACGACCAGCCACACUGGGACUGAGACACGGCCCAGACUCCUACGGGAGGCAGCAGUGGGGAAUUUUGGACAAUGGGCGAAAGCCUGAUCCAGCAAUGCCGCGUGUGUGAAGAAGGCCUUCGGGUUGUAAAGCACUUUUGUCCGGAAAGAAAUCCUUGGCUCUAAUACAGUCGGGGGAUGACGGUACCGGAAGAAUAAGCACCGGCUAACUACGUGCCAGCAGCCGCGGUAAUACGUAGGGUGCGAGCGUUAAUCGGAAUUACUGGGCGUAAAGCGUGCGCAGGCGGUCUGUUAAGACAGAUGUGAAAUCCCCGGGCUCAACCUGGGAACUGCAUUUGUGACUGGCAGGCUAGAGUAUGGCAGAGGGGGGUAGAAUUCCACGUGUAGCAGUGAAAUGCGUAGAGAUGUGGAGGAAUACCGAUGGCGAAGGCAGCCCCCUGGGCCAAUACUGACGCUCAUGCACGAAAGCGUGGGGAGCAAACAGGAUUAGAUACCCUGGUAGUCCACGCCCUAAACGAUGUCAACUAGUUGUUGGGGAUUCAUUUCCUUAGUAACGUAGCUAACGCGUGAAGUUGACCGCCUGGGGAGUACGGUCGCAAGAUUAAAACUCAAAGGAAUUGACGGGGACCCGCACAAGCGGUGGAUGAUGUGGAUUAAUUCGAUGCAACGCGAAAAACCUUACCUACCCUUGACAUGGUCGGAAUCCUG